rnacentral:rRNA from 1 species
GAUCCUGGCUCAGGAUGAACGCUGGCGGCGCGCCUAACACAUGCAAGUCGAACGGCACCUGCCCUCGGGCAGAAGCGAGUGGCGAACGGCUGAGUAACACGUGGAGAACCUGCCCCCUCCCCCGGGAUAGCCGCCCGAAAGGACGGGUAAUACCGGAUACCCCCGGGGUGCCGCAUGGCACCCCGGCUAAAGCCCCGACGGGAGGGGAUGGCUCCGCGGCCCAUCAGGUAGACGGCGGGGUGACGGCCCACCGUGCCGACAACGGGU